GCUGGGUGUAGUGGCGGGCACCUGUAAUCCCAGCUACCUGGGAGACUGAGGCAGGAGAAUUGCUUGAACCCAGGAGGCGGAGCUUGCAGUGAGCCGAGAUCACACUGCUGCACUCCAGCUCGGGCGACAGAGUGAGACUCCGUCUCAAAAAAAAAAAAUGUUUUUUAGAGACGGAGUCUCUGUCGCCCAGGCUGGAGUGCAGUGGUGUGUGAUCAUGGCUCACUGCAGCCUGGUUGAACUCCUGGGCUCAAGCGAUCCUCCCAC
rnacentral:lncRNA from 1 species